rnacentral:rRNA from 1 species
UGCGCAGGCGGUCUUAUAAGUCAGAGGUGAAAUCUGUCGGCUCAACCGACACACUGCCUCUGAAACUGUCAGACUUGAGUUAGAGAGAGGUAAGUGGAAUUCCAGGUGUAGCGGUGAAAUGCGUAAAUAUCUGGAGGAACACCGGUGGCGAAGGCGGCUUACUGGCUCUAAACUGACGCUCAGGCACGAAAGCAUGGGGAGCGAACAGGAUUAGAUACCCUGGUAGUCC